AACCAUGCAAGUCGAACGGUAACAGAAAGCAGCUUGCUGCUUGCUGACGAGUGGCGGACGGGUGAGUAAUGUCUGGGAAACUGCCUGAUGGAGGGGGAUAACUACUGGAAACGGUAGCUAAUACCGCAUAACGUCGCAAGACCAAAGAGGGGGACCUUCGGGCCUCUUGCCAUCGGAUGUGCCCAGAUGGGAUUAGCUAGUAGGUGGGGUAAAGGCUCACCUAGGCGACGAUCCCUAGCUGGUCUGAGAGGAUGACCAGCCACACUGGAACUGAGACACGGUCCACACUCCUACGGGAGGCAGCAGUGGGGAAUAUUGCACAAUGGGCGCAAGCCUGAUGCAGCCAUGCCGCGUGUAUGAAGAAGGCCUUCGGGUUGUAAAGUACUUUCAGCGGGGAGGAAGGGAGUAAAGUUAAUACCUUUGCUCAUUGACGUUACCCGCAAAAGAAGCACCGGCUAACUCCGUGCCAGCAGCCGCGGUAAUACGGAGGGUGCAAGCGUUAAUCGGAAUUACUGGCCGUAAAGCGCCCGCAGGCGGUUUGUCAAGUCAGAUGUGAAAUCCCCGGGCUCAACCUGGGAACUCCAUCUGAUACUGACAAGCUUGAGUCUCGUAGAGGGGGGCA
rnacentral:rRNA from 1 species